AGCAGCCGCGGUAAUUCCAGCUCCAAUAGCGUAUAUUAAAGUUGUUGCAGUUAAAAAGCUCGUAGUUGAAUUUCGGGAUCUGUCAAUCGGUCGGGCUUUAUUGUCCGCACUGAUUUGAUGGAUUCUUACCUUCUGAAUAACCAGCAUGCCAUUAAGUUGGUGCGUUGGGGAAGCAGAGCUAUUACCUUGAAAAAUUAGAGUGCUUAAAGCAGGCUAGUGCUUGAAUAGAUUAGCAUGGAAUAAUAAAAUAGGACGGCAUGGUUCUAUUUUGUUGGUUUCUAGGAUCACCGUAAUGAUUAAUAGGGAUAGUUGGGGGCAUUAGUAUUCAAUUGUCAGAGGUGAAAUUCUUGGAUUUAUUGAAGACUAACUACUGCGAAAGCAUUUGCCAAGGAUGUUUUCAUUAAUCAAGAACGAAAGUUAGGGGAUCGAAGACGAUCAGAUACCGUCGUA
rnacentral:rRNA from 1 species